CUCCCCGAGGAGCGUUGCAGCGGCCUGUGUCCCAGUGCCGUCAGGCUCGGGCCGCAUCUUCCUUCGCAACGACGCUCACCUGAU
rnacentral:ncRNA from 2 species